rnacentral:lncRNA from 1 species
GGGAGAUGAGCCAUUUUAACAACAACCAUUAAUUUUUUAUUAAAUUUCUAGUCAAAUAUAACAAAAUAACUUUUCUUUUAUAAAACAACUUAAAUACUUAAAUAUUUACAACAUUGUCAGUUGGGAAAAAGACAAACAAAGAGAGGGAAAAAUGAAGAAAAGUAUAUAAGAGACAAAUUCAAGCACAUAAUAAAUACAGCCUAUUGGCAUGCCUGGCUGGCCCUGAUGCCUGCUGCCAAAGUGCCAGAUCCUCAGCUUGAUAAUCAGUACAUAAAAAUCUCAUCCAGUGUUGCUAUGUAGAGGGCCAAGAGGAAAGAGGCAGCAGCUAGCUUGGAAGCCCUUUCGUGGACAUAGUCAUAUUUCUGCAGGGUCAUCUCGCAGAUGAAGCGAGACAAAGUCAGUGUCUUCAUGCUGACAUUGAGACACUAAAGACAGCAAAAAAGACUUGUUCAACAAUAAAUUCAUAAAAAUAGUUCCAAGCAGAAGACCCCAACUCCAAUUAUCUCACCCCUCGUGUAAAUAGCUCUUUGUGUGAACAGUGUACCUCUCCUGCCACUGGACU